GUGGCGGUACUAUGCCACGUGUAAAAGCGAGGCCAUGUGGACCCUUCCUUGUCUUUAAGGGGUCUAUCUCAAGCAAGAGAAGUAAUUUGUGUUUUGUUCUUUUGCGUUGAGAGAGAGAGAGAGAGAGAGAGCACCGAUGGCGAAUGAGUACGAGGUGGUGAAUACUGUUUCUCUCGAGAUGCAUCACGAUGCGGCUGAAUCUCAGAGCGACUCGUCGACUCUCUCGAACUCGUUCGAGUCCGGCCUCACGGUUGGCGAUGCCGAUUCGAAGAAGCUGGAUGAGUGUGGUGGAUGGACGAAUGAGAAACACAACUUGUAUCUUGAUUCUUUGGAGAACUCUUUUGUUAAGCAGUUGUAUUCCUUGCUUGGAGUGGGAGGAGAGACUCAGAGGCUGAGUAGAACUCGUGGUGUGCAGUCUAACUCUCACAAAUUGACUGAUCAGUUUACGGUACUACAAAAUGGUUACCGGCAGAAAGUUAGCUUUGGGAAAAAACGAGCUCAUUUGGAGACGAUGGGAACUGAUAAAGGUUUUACUAGAACAUCCAUGAGAACUUCUUUGGUGCAUCAGUAUCCAGCUCAAAGCACUGCAGAAGGCUUUUGCUGCAGAAACAUAAGAGUUGAUAUGACCUGUGGGGGAUCAAAGAAAUGAUUGUUGCUACGAAAGACAUAGGCGUCAGGGCAGAAUUUCAGAGAAGAAGUGGAAGAGAAGGGAUGUGACUCAGAAGUGUCCAGGAAACGCAGAAGAGGAGCUAAUUAUGAUGAUAGUUCAUUGAAUGAUCAGGUUGUGCCGUAACGAUGGUGAAGCCCCAGAGAAAGUGAAACAAUGAUAUAAAGCAAUAGGAAAUGAAGUGUAGAUUAAUUACUAUGAAUAGAGAAAAAAAAUAGGAAGCAUGCGAGUGGAAAAUGAAGGGUUUUGUUUGUUGUAAAGUAUGAUGAGGCUAAAGACAGCCUUGUCGAAUGGGAAUGAAAUUAGUAUUUUGAUAUAUUAUCAUCAUUUCUUCCAUUGCUUUUCAAUCUUUAAUUCGUUCUAUUAAUUUUUUUUUUUUCAUUUUCUAGAACAAUGUUUUUGUCGUGAAUUUAUAAAUUCUUUCAAUAGUUGUGUGUU